UACGUAGGGGGCAAGCGUUGUCCGGAAUCAUUGGGCGUAAAGCGCGCGUAGGCGGCCCGGUAAGUCCGUUGUGAAAGUCAAAGGCUCAACCUUUGAAUGCCGAUGGAUACUGCCGGGCUGGAGUCCGGAAGAGGCGAGUGGAAUUCCUGGUGUAGCGGUGGAAUGCGCAGAUAUCAGGAGGAACACCAAUAGCGAAGGCAGCUCGCUGGGACGGUACUGACGCUGAGGAGCGAAAGCGUGGGGAG
rnacentral:rRNA from 1 species